rnacentral:rRNA from 1 species
CAGUCGCCGCGGUAACACGAAGGGUGCGAGCGUUAAUCGGAAUUACUGGGCGUAAAGCGUGCGCAGGCGGUUGUGUAAGACAGGUGUGAAAUCCCCGGGCUUAACCUGGGAACUGCGCUUGUGACUGCACAGCUAGAGUAUGGCAGAGGGGGGUGGAAUUCCACGUGUAGCAGUGAAAUGCGUAGAGAUGUGGAGGAACACCGAUGGCGAAGGCAGCCCCCUGGGCCAAUACUGACGCUCAUGCACGAAAGCGUGGGGAGCAAACAGGAUUAGAUACCCCAGUAGUCCCUGUCUCUUAUAC